UAAGGGCGCACGGUGGAUGCCUUGGCACUAGAAGCCGAUGAAGGACGUUACUAACGACGAUAUGCUUUGGGGAGCUGUAAGUAAGCUUUGAUCCAGAGAUUUCCGAAUGGGGAAACCCAGCAUGAGUUAUGUCAUGUUAUCGAUAUGUGAAUACAUAGCAUAUCAGAAGGCACACCCGGAGAACUGAAACAUCUUAGUACCCGGAGGAAGAGAAAGAAAAUUCGAUUCCCUUAGUAGCGGCGAGCGAAACGGGAAGAGCCCAAACCAACAAGCUUGCUUGUUGGGGUUGUAGGACACUCUAUACGGAGUUACAAAGGACGACAUUAGACGAAUCAUCUGGAAAGAUGAAUCAAAGAAGGUAAUAAUCCUGUAGUCGAAAAUGUUGUCUCUCUUGAGUGGAUCCUGAGUACGACGGAGCACGUGAAAUUCCGUCGGAAUCUGGGAGGACCAUCUCCUAAGGCUAAAUACUCUCUAGUGACCGAUAGUGAACCAGUACCGUGAGGGAAAGGUGAAAAGCACCCCGGAAGGGGAGUGAAAUAGAACCUGAAACCGUGUGCUUACAAGUAGUCAGAGCCCGUUAAUGGGUGAUGGCGUGCCUUUUGUAGAAUGAACCGGCGAGUUACGAUUUGAUGCAAGGUUAAGCAGUAAAUGUGGAGCCGUAGCGAAAGCGAGUCUGAAUAGGGCGUUUAGUAUUUGGUCGUAGACCCGAAACCAGGUGAUCUACCCUUGGUCAGGUUGAAGUUCAGGUAACACUGAAUGGAGGACCGAACCGACUUACGUUGA
rnacentral:rRNA from 1 species